GCCCAGGUAGCUCAGUUUGGGAGAGCGCUGCCCUGAAGAGGCAGUUGUCCCCGGUUCGAGUCCGGGUCUGGGCA
rnacentral:tRNA from 3 species